GCAAUUUCGUCCAUUUUCUCCUUCGUUAUUCUAACAGUAGGAUGCGAAAAUUAGUUUUUCUAAAUUUUGAUAAAACUAGCAUAAAAGUAACAAAAACUUUGAUAAUUAAACGCUGUGCACGAUUGAAUAAUGAACCAACAAAAUAUGUUCGGCCGGAAGAAUCUGAAAACUUCUUUUUGGGCCGUUUAUCCAUUGCUGGAAUACGGCCUCAUUGACUGUUUGCUGGAGAAUUACCGCAUGAAACCCAUAUUAAUUCAUUCGACAACAGCAGUUCAGGACGUACUGGAGUUGCUCGAUCGAAUCAAGUUGAUCUACGAGUGGAAAAAUGAAAAUAAACGGGAACCAUCUGCUAGAGACGGGGGCGUUGACAUCUAUAGUCGGAACCAAGGACCCGGAGUUUAUUAUUCGAUUGGUUAACAUGAAUGAGUCAGUGAAAAUGCAAUUAUGUGCAAUAUUGAACAGCGAGCAAAAGAAUUAAAACGAAAGCCAUAUCAAAGUGGAAAUAUGUGUAUGCGUGUUCAACGUGUUCUUCAUGUACGGCAAUGCCCUUGUUGAACGAGUACCUCGAGUAGCUACGUAAAAACUUUCACGCGUUUGAGGGCGAGUGCAAACACACCCUCCGAGAAGACAAGAAUGAUGUUGGCGAACUUUGCUGCUUUUUGAGGGAUCUUUCAAAGUCAACUACGAAUGAUUUAUAUUGAAAAUACUAAAAAAAGAGACGACACACCAGACCUUCAAGUGAUUCAGGGUUUAAUUAAAUAAUGACUGGUCGGCGGGGGACAAUAUCGCUACUUAGAGCGAGCAUGAUGACAUCGAAUUCAGUGUACGUACCCCACCUACAAUAAAUCUAACGAUUCUUCAAAUACACUGCCACCAGCUUAAAUCGACGCACAACUGGCACUCUGAUGCGAAACUUGAUUUAAUUACUGCGACCAUGUGGCGUUCCAGGAACUACUUUGAACAACCAGUGUGAAAUGCAACUAUCUUCACUUGGAUGCAACGAUUAAUCGAUCAACAAAACGUUCCGUUACAUCAUGAGCCAGAAUAAAAUGAGCCGAACAAAAAGUCACUCUCUGGGACCAUAUCCUGGAUUCACUGGAAUGUGGUCAAAUGGCCCCAAAAUUAGUUUUAAGCGCUUCUCAAGCCCAGCAGCGAUUCUUGAAUCGUCGCAUGAUAAAGUUAGCGAUUUGCCACUCUCUGCAACCAUGUUCACGAAACUGGUCCAAUGGUCUCCCAAAUAGCAAAGUUUUCUUUCCAAUAAAAAUGUUUUGUUUUUAACAAGUUAUGGAUUCGU